rnacentral:rRNA from 1 species
GACGAACGCUGGCGGCGCGCCUAACACAUGCAAGUCGAACGGAGAUGAUAAAAGCUUGCUUUGAUCAUCUUAGUGGCGGACGGGUGAGUAACACGUGAGCAACCUGCCUUUCAGAGGGGGAUAACGUUUGGAAACGAACGCUAAUACCGCAUAAUGUAUACGGAUGGCAUCGUCUGUAUACCAAAGGAGCAAUCCGCUGAAAGAUGGCCUCGCGUCCGAUUAGCUAGAUGGUGAGGUAACGGCCCACCAUGGCGACGAUCGGUAGCCGGACUGAGAGGUUGAUCGGCCACAUUGGGACUGAGACACGGCCCAGACUCCUACGGGAGGGCAGCAGUGGGGAAUAUUGCACAAUGGAGGGAAACUCUGAUGCAGCGACGCCGCGUGAGGGAAGAAGGGUCUUC